rnacentral:rRNA from 1 species
UAAGGAAUAUUGGUCAAUGGGCGGAAGCCUGAACCAGCCAUGCCGCGUGCAGGAUGACGGCCCUCUGGGUUGUAAACUGCUUUUGUACGGGAAUAACCUCCAUCACGUGUGAUGGGCUGCAUGUACUGUACGAAUAAGGAUCGGCUAACUCCGUGCCAGCAGCCGCGGUAAUACGGAGGAUCCGAGCGUUAUCCGGAUUUAUUGGGUUUAAAGGGUGCGUAGGCGGCUAAAUAAGUCAGGGGUGAAAUACGGCAGCUCAACUGUCGCAGUGCCUUUGAUACUGUUUAGCUUGAAUAUGUUUGAAGAUGGCGGAAUGAGACAAGUAGCGGUGAAAUGCAUAGAUAUGUCUCAGAACUCCGAUUGCGAAGGCAGCUAUCUAAGUCAUUAUUGACGCUGAUGCACGAAAGCGUGGGUAUCAAACAGGAUUAGAUACCCUGGUAGUCCACGCCCUAAACGAUGAUAACUCGAUGUUAGCGAUACACAGUUAGCGUCUUAGCGAAAGCGUUAAGUUAUCCACCUGGGGAGUACGGCCGCAAGGUUG